rnacentral:rRNA from 1 species
AUACGGAAGGUCCGGGCGUUAUCCGGAUUUAUUGGGUUUAAAGGGAGCGCAGGCGGAGAUGCAAGCGUGACGUCAAAUUUCGGGGCUCAACCCCGUCUCGCGUCGCGAACUGCGUCCCUUGGUUGCGGGAAGGGGAGGCGGAACUCGUGGUGUAGCGGGGAAAUGCAUAGAUAUCACGAAGAACUCCGAUCGCGAAGGCAGCCUUCCGGCCCGUCAACGACGCUCAUGCUCGAAGGUGCGGGUAUCAAACAGGAUUAGAUACCCUGGUAGUCCGCACAGUAAACGAUGGACACCCGCGGUUUGGCCUGUAUGGCUGAGCCGCCAAGCAAAAGCGUUAAGUGUCCCACCUGGGGAGUACGCCGGCAACGGUGAAACUCAAAGGAAUUGACGGGG